ACUCCUACGGGAGGCAGCAGUGAGGAAUUUUCUGCAAUGGGCGAAAGCCUGACAGAGCAAUACCGCGUGAGGGAUGAAAGCCUAUGGGUUGUAAACCUCUUUUCUCAAGGAGGAAUAUAUGACGUUACUUGAGGAAUAAGCAUCGGCUAACCCUGUGCCAGCAGCCGCGGUAAUAC
rnacentral:rRNA from 1 species